CUGUAGGGUCAGGGAUGUUGUUAUAGGGUCAGAGGUGUGGUUAUAGGGUCAGGAUAUGGCCAUAGGGCCAGGGGAAUGGUUAUAGGGUCAGAGGUGUGGUUAUAGGGCCAGGGUAUGGCUGUAGGGUCAGGGGUGUGGUUAUAGGGCCAGGGUAUGGCUGUAGGGUCAGGGAUGUUGUUAUAGGGCCAGGGUAUGGCUAUAGGGUCAGGGGAGUAGCUAUAGGGUCAGGGGUAUGGUUAUAGGGCCAGGGGAGUUGUUAUAGGGUCAAGGUACGGCUAUAGGGUCAGGGAUGUUGUUAUAGGGCCAGGGUAUGGCUGUAGGGCCAGGGGAGUGGUUAUAGGGUCAGGGGAGUGGUUAUAGGGUCAGGGUAUGGCUGUAGGGUCAGGGAUGUUGUUAUAGGGCCAGGGUACGGCUGUAGGGUCAGGGUAUGGCCAUAGGGCCAGGGUUGUAGCUAUAGGGUCAGAGGUGUGGUUAUAGGGUCAGGUUAUGGCUAUAGGGCCAGGGGAGUAGUUAUGGGGUCAGAGGUGUGGUUAUAGGGCCAGGAGUGUGGUUAUAGGGUCAGGGUAUGGCUGUAGGGUCAGGGCUGUUGUUAUAGGGUCAGAGGUGUGGUUAUAGGGUCAGGGAUGUUGUUAUAGGGCCAGGGUACGGCUGUAGGGUCAGGGUAUGGCCAUAGGGCCAGGGUUGUAGCUAUAGGGUCAGAGAUGUGGUUAUAGGGCCAGGGGUGUAGUUAUAGGAUCAGAGGUGUGGUUAUAGGGUCAGGACAUGACCAUAGGGCCAGGGGGGUGGUUAUAGGGUCAGAGGUGUGGUUAUAGGGUCAGGGUAUGGCUGUAGGGUCAGGGAAUGGCCAUAGGGUCAGGAGUGUGGUUAUAGGGUCAGGAUAUGGCUAUAGGGCCAGGGUUGUAGCUAUAGGGUCAGAGGUGUGGUUAUAGGGUCAGGGUAUGGCCAUGGGGGCAGAGGAGUUGUUAUGGGGUCAGAGAUGUGGUUAUAGGGUCAGGGUAUGGCUGUAGGGUCAGGGGUGUAGUUAUAGGGUCAGAGGUGUGGUUAUAGGAUCAGGUUAUGGCUAUAGUGUGAUCUGGGGUAUGAUAUAAAGUUGCGAUAUGGGGCGCGAUAUCGGGGGUGUGCGAUAUGGGGCGUGAUAUCGCGACAUAUGAUAUCGCGA